GCAGGGUGUAGUGGUGUGCACCUGUAAUCCCAGAUACUCAGGAGGCUGAGGCAGGAGAAUCGCUUGAACCUGGGAGGUGGAGGUUGCAGUGAGCCAAGAUCGCACCAUUGUACUCCAGCCUGGGUGACGGAGCGAGACUCUGUCUUGAGGGGGGGGAAGAAAGACAUCAAUCUUUUCAGGAAUAUUAAUAUUCCUGGUAAUGAAAAAAGAAGGUAAAUUAUUGUUUAUUUUUUGAGACAGGGUCUCGCUCUUUCGCCCAGGCUGGAGUGCAGUGGUGCGAUCAUGGCUCACUGCAAACUCUACCUCCUGGGUUCAAGCAAUCCUCCCACCUCAA
rnacentral:SRP_RNA from 1 species